rnacentral:rRNA from 1 species
AACACAUGCAAGUCGAACGGUGAAGCCCUUCGGGGUGGAUCAGUGGCGAACGGGUGAGUAACACGUGGGCAAUCUGCCCUGCACUCUGGGACAAGCCCUGGAAACGGGGUCUAAUACCGGAUACNACCCGCCCCUGCAUGGGGGUGGGUGGAAAGCUCCGGCGGUGCAGGAUGAGCCCGCGGCCUAUCAGCUUGUUGGUGGGGUAAUGGCCUACCAAGGCGACGACGGGUAGCCGGCCUGAGAGGGCGACCGGCCACACUGGGACUGAGACACGGCCCAGACUCCUACGGGAGGCAGCAGUGGGGAAUAUUGCACAAUGGGCGAAAGCCUGAUGCAGCGACGCCGCGUGAGGGAUGACGGCCUUCGGGUUGUAAACCUCUUUCAGCAGGGAAGAAGCGCAAGUGACGGUACCUGCAGAAGAAGCACCGGCUAACUACGUGCCAGCAGCCGCGGUAAUACGUAGGGUGCGAGCGUUGUCCGGAAUUAUUGGGCGUAAAGAGC